GACGAACGCUGGCGGCGUGCCCAAUACAUGCAAGUCGAACGCAGUGGGGACGGGUGAGUAACACGUGGGUAACCUCCCAUCAGAGGGGAUAACACUUGGAAACAGGUGCUAAACCGAUACUGAUGGAUGGACCCGCGGUGCAUUAGCUCGUGGGUGGGGUAACGGCUCACCAAGGCCACGAUGCAUAGCCGACCGGGGAGGGGGAUCGGCCACACUGGGACGGAGACAGGGCCAAGACUCCUACGGGAGGCAGCAGGAGGGAAUCUUCGGCAAUGGAGGAAAGUCGGACCGAGCAACGCGGCGGGAGUGAAGAAGGUUUUCGGAUCGUAAAACUCUGUUGUUAGGGAAGCGGUAUCUAACCAGAAAGCCACGGCUAACUACGUGCCAGCAGCCGCGGUAAUUC
rnacentral:rRNA from 1 species